UCUAACGGUCAUGCCACCCUGAACACGCCUGAUCUCGUCUGAUCUUGGAAGCUGAGCAGGGGCGGGCCUGGUUAAUACUUGGAUGGGAGACCACCUAGGAAUACCAGGUGCUGUAGGUU
rnacentral:rRNA from 1 species